UCGCACCGUACUAUAUUUAUUAUUAAUAAAUUGUAAAGAUGAGAUAUCGACCGUUCAGCAGAUAAAUUUUAGUCGAUAAAAUAUAUAUUUAAUCAAAAUUCAAUUGAAUCAAUUGUAUAAGUGUGAUACGACCAAGGCAUUCUGGAAAAUCUGUAUAUUAUAUUAUUUUUAUAUGAUGCCAGUACGUCCUCUGACUUGAAGCGAGUCGUAUAUUAGCGUUAAAAUGGAAUUUGAUUCAUUUUCUGAAUUUUAUGAACAGUUAAAUGCGUACUACGUAGACAAGCCUGGGAAAAAGCCACCUACCAAAAUUGACGUUCAAUUAAUGAUUGAAGACAUUUUAGCAGCAAAAG